rnacentral:rRNA from 1 species
CAAGACCUUGCGCUUUUGGAGCGGCCGAUGCCUGAUUAGCUAGUUGGUGAGGUAAAGGCUUACCAAGGCUUCGAUCAGUAGCUGGUCUGAGAGGACGACCAGCCACACUGGGACUGAGACACGGCCCAGACUCCUACGGGAGGCAGCAGUGGGGAACUCCGGACAAUGGGGGGGGGCCUGAUUCGGCCAUGCCGCGUGAGUGAAGAAGGCCUUCGGGUUGUAAAGCUCUUUCAGCCGGAACGAAAAGGUCACGGCUAAUACCUGUGAUCACUGACGGUACCGGAAGAAGAAGCACCGGCUAACUACGUGCCAGCAGCCGCGGUAAUACGUAGGGUGCAAGCGUUAAUCGGAAUUACUGGGCGUAAAGCGUGAGCAGGCGGUUUUGUAAGUCAGAUGUGAAAUCCCCGGGCUUAACCUGGGAACU